AAAAUACAUAAAAAUCAUAAUUAAUUAAUAAAAUCUCGUGCCUGCGAUUUAGCCCAAAACUUUUUUUCUUUUUGUCACGUCAAUUUUCUUUUCUCUGCGUGCGAUAGCCGACCCUCACAGCUCAAUCGACUUCUUCAUCUCUCAUAUUAUUCAAUCGAUUUCUUCAUCUCAUCUCAUCUUUUCGUCGGCUGACCUCUCACGACUUUUGUUCAACUGACGAUGUCGUCGCUUCCAGGUUAAUGAUUCGAGGUUAGUCUUUCCUCGCCAAUGCUCGCUUCCAGAUUAGUCUUUCCUCAUCGGCGUUCAACUAACGACGACGAUGAUUUCUUCAUCUCGUCAUCGGCGCGCGAUAACGUAAUGAUUCGAGGCCUUCUGUAAUACUAAAUGGCGCCGCCAAUUCUCUCCUUAGCUCUCCCGUCCGCCACUGGUCGAGUUCUCUGUAUUCAGUCCCACACUUUUCAGGGUAUCCGACAUUUAAGGGCCAAGUUUUGAAUGGAAGACAAUUAUGGGACUUAAUUGAAGGCCUUGAAGAAAAUGAAUUGUUGUACUACACUCAUUUGUUAACAGGAUAUAUUGGUUCUGUUUCUUUCCUCAACAACUGUGUUGGAAGUUAUCGAUAAGCUUCACUUUGUGAACCCUAAGCUAACAUAUGGUCAGAUAAAUUCAAGUUUAUAUAUAUAUAUAUAUCAUAUUUUUCACUACUUCAAUGAUGACUCUUUGUUCUUUUAACCAUAAGGUACUUAGAUUGUACUUUAUAUUAGAGUUCUUGUUCUUACUUCUACGAUACUAUCAUAGUAUGGUAUGUUCAGGUAUCUGGUUCAGUUCUUCUGUUAUGUUACUGUUGAAUAGUUCUUGCACAGCCUGUUUUCAUAAUGACAACGAAUGUUCCCUAUCUGAUCUUUGUGAAAGCAUAUUUCUCCUUUCUAUUUUCAAGUUUCAACAUGAGGCUUCUGAGUUUCAAAAUGGUUGAAUUGUGCAAUAUAUCCACUUCCUUUCUGCUUCUGCUUCAAAGCCAAAAAUCUUCAUAGUGCUUUAUAAUAACCCUUCUUAGAAUUACUCAGGAAAAACACUCAAGUUUCGUAGAUGUCUAAUGAAUAGGUAUUGGGCAUGGGAGUUUGGGAAAAUUUACCUCUUCAAAAUGGCUAUCUUACUUAGAAGCAGUAAUACAUACUUUUAUAUAUUUAGCCAUAUAACAAAAAAAUUCUUGAGGAAUAUGUACUAUAGUAAUAUACUGUUUUCUUCCUUGACAUAGUCCAAAAGGUUAUAGUUGAGCAUUAUGAGUUAGGAACACUUUGAAGAAGUGAAAUUUGAUUCUGCAUUUGCCAUCACUCUUUUAUCACUAGAAGACUGGUUUGUCUGCUGAACAAGAUCCUUUUUCAAUUAUUUGCAAAUGUCCUAGAAAUAUUUCAAUUCAAAGCUCUUAUUGAUUGGUCAUCUUGGUUUAUAUGCCCAUCAGCUGUCCAUGUUUGAUGAAGUGGUAAUAUAUAGUUUUGCUUCUUUAAGGAAGAAAUAACUUCAUGUUGGGUUUUUGAAUUUUGUUCGAUUUUUGUUCUUAGUGUUAACCACAACUUGUUAGGUGUUUUCUUCACUAGAUUAACUUUAAUUUUCUUAGAUCACAUUGAGAUAAUCUCUCAUAACGUAAUUUCUCGAGUAUUUUUCGCUUGUUCUAACAACCGAGUUGUUUGUUUACUGGUUGUAUAUGUGACUAGGGGAUCUUUUUUUUUUUUUUUAUAUUGAAGAUUAGAGUGGAGCUACUUUUUAAGAUUGUUAAUGUGGGGACGUUUGGUUGUUUCAAUUCUUUUUUUUUUUUGGGUUCAAAAUAUGGAUCUGGAUAUGAUUAUGGUUAAAUAUGAUUUAGAAGAUUUAGAACGUUGUUUUUGUAUCUUAUAUGAUUGGUUGAAUAUGAUUUGUAAUUUUAUUUGAAGACUUUGCUGCGUAUGUUUCUUUGGAUUUUCAUUUUUAAGUUUGAUUUAUAUGAUAUAUCAUUCUUUAUUUUAUUUCAAAUGUUAUUGAAGUAUUUGUUUCUUUACUGUAUUUUGUGAACUAAUUUGUUGCGUUUUACAACAGCUCCUUUCUUUGUCUUUGCUGGGAUUUGGUUCAUUGUUUUUGGCUUGAGUUUGUUUUUUGUGAUUCUACCAAUUAGUUCAACUAGAUGAAGAACAUAAAUGGUUAAUGGAUUUUUCUUUGUAGGACAUGAGAGAUUGAGUAAAUGAAUGAGGUUAUGAGUGUCAUUGUUUGGAUGGACACAAACUAGAACUCUAAGCUCUGAGUUUUUAAGCAAGUUCACGAUGUCAUGAUAUGCAAAAAAAAUUAGAAUUUAAUCCUUAUGGUUUUGAUAGAACUUCAUAGAUUGUCUCUCUAGUUUGAUAAAAAGAAUAUAUUGUUUUUAUUUGUUUUGAAAUAAUAGUAGUUACGUAUGUAGAAGGGUAGGGUACUAAGUUUGAGGUUCUUGAAAAGGAAUAUUUGAAGAUGAAAGAAGAAAUGAUAAAUGAAAGCAAUAAAAGACGAAAUGAUAGAAAUGAAAGCGGACUUAUGUCAUCUUAUUUAAAGAAACAUUUUUUUUCUUUUACUUAGAUUCUUUUUUUUCCUGUUAGUAGUUAACUAUAUUUAUGGUUUCAUAUGAGAUUAUCAUAGGUUGAACCAAGUGAGGAAUUUUCAAAUGUUGCCGCAAGUGUGCUUAAGCGACUAAAUAUUCCUCCAACCUAUCCAAUGUCUUCUGCAUUAGUAACUUAUUUGUAAUAGGAUGAAAGUUAUUUAUGAUGUCAUUAUUUUCUUAUUCUAGUAUCUCAUAUUUGUCUUUUGAUAGAGUAUUAAUAACAACAGUCAAAUUAAGUGCAAGUUAUUAGAUUGGUAUAGCUCAGGAGAGAUUGUUGUUGAAGGAAGAUGGUCUUCUGGUGAUCCAGUUGCUCUGGUUCAUCAGGUUCCUAUUGGUCCACAUGCGAUUAGAGUAUGGGUUGAUGCAGCAAUUGAAAGCAAUUAACAACCCGAGGCUUACGUGGAAACCCGAGAAUCGGGAGAAAAACCACAAUACUUUUUAUUAUUUCUCUUAUGAAUGAAUACAAUAGGUACAACGGGAGAGAAUAAAUAUAGUACAAUAGGAGUAAGAAAGGAAAAGAUUUAGGAAAUAAAAUAUUCUAUAUUAUUCUUUCUAAAAAUACUCUAAGGUAAAGCCCUACUAAUUCUAGCACACUCCCCUUCAAGUUGGGACAUAAAUAUCAAUGAGUCCCAACUUACUAACACAAAGGUCGAAGUGUGGUCUGAGAAGCUCCUUGGUGAGAACAGAAGCAACUUGUUGGCUCGAAGGAAUGUACAGAAUGUAUAUGCUUCAACUGCCAAGUCUUUCUUUGAUGAAAUGUCGAACAAUCUCGAUAAGUUUAGUUCUAUCAUGUUGAAUUGGGUUGUUAGCAAUACUAAUAGCAGCUUUAUUAUCACAAAAAAGCUUCAAUAGUGUCUCACAUUCCUGAUGAAGAUCUGACAAGACUUUUUGGAGCCAAAUUUCCUCACAUAUUCCCAAACUCAUAGCUCUGUAUUCAGCCUCAGCACUGCUCCUGGCCACAACACUUUGCUUCUUACUCCUCUAAGUUACAAGAUUACCUCAAACAAAGGUACAAUAACCGGAGGUAGACUUUCUAUCAACAACAAAUCCUGUCCAAUCCGAGUCAGUAUAUGCCUCAAUGGACUUUCUAUUUGUUUUUCUAAACAUCAACUCUGUGUAUUUUUCAAGUAUCUCAUAAUUCUGUUAACAGCUUCCAUAUGUUUCUCAUUGGGAGCCUGCAUAAACUUGUUGACAACACUUACAGCAAAGAAAAUACCAGGGCGAGUAUGAGAUAAGUAAAUUGAUUUACCUACAAGGCGCUGAUAUUGUUCUUUAUCAAACUGGAACUUGAUCAUCAGAGUUCCUUAGUUUACAGUUGAAUUCAAUAGGAGUAUUAGCAGGAGGAUAUCCCAACAUACUUGUCUUGGUUAGCAAAUCAAGGGUGUUUUCUCUAAGACACAAAGAUACCUUCUUUCGAUCUGACCACCUCAAUUCCAGGGAAAUAUUUUAGAUUUCCCAAAUCCUUGAUUUCAAAUUCAUCACCCAUUCUCUGCUUUAGUUGACUGAUUUCUGUUUAAUCAUCUCUAGUCAAAAAAAUAUCAUCCACAUAAACUAUUAGAAUAACAAUCUUCCCUGUCUUGGAAACCUUUGUAAAUAAAGUAUGGUCAGAGUGCCCUCGACCACCCUUGGGACUUGACAAAGGUAGUGAAUCUGUCAAACCAUGCUCUCGGAGACUAUUUCAGACCAUAUAGGGAUUUUUGGAGUUUACACACCUGCUGACCAAAUUGGGCUUCAAAUCCUGGCGGGGGGCUCAUGUAGACUUCCUCCACAAGGUCUCCAUUCAAAAAAGCAUUCUUAACAUCUAGCUGGUAUAGAGGUCAAUCUUUGUUCACAGCAACAGAUAGCAGGACUCUAACACAACUUAGCAACUGGAGAAAAGGUUUUUGAAUAGUCAAUACCAUAGGUCUGAGUAAAUCCCUUUGCAACUAACCUUGCCUUGUGUCUAUCAAGCGUACUAUCUACUUUGUAUUUGAGAGCGAACACCUAUUUGCAUCCUACAGUUUUAUGUCUCUUGGGUAGAGCACAGAUCUCCCAAGUUCUAUUCUUUUCAAGAGCCUUCAUCUCUUCCAUAACUGCAUUUUUCCAUUCAGGACACUCUAGAGUAGUGUAGAUAUUAUUUAGUAUUAUGGUAGAGUCAAGGCUUGCUGUAAACGCUCUAAACUGUGGAGAGAGAUUAUCAUAGGAAACAUAGUUACAAAUGGGAUGUUUAGUGUAGGAUCUGGUACCUUUUCUCAAAGCAAUGGGAAUGUCAAGAGAGGGAUCAUACUCAUCAAGUUUUCUUGUAUGACCUUGUUCAGCUUCAUUGUUACUGGUUUCUAUUCUAACCUCAGUCUCAUCACCACGGUUCUUUUCUUCCAUAUUUUCAAGAACAACAACAUCAGACCUGUCAUUCUCACUCAUCAUAUUAUUAGUACAAGGUUCUGUAGGGUUUUCCAUACCUUGGUCUCGAGGAGGUUCGAAGUCUUGGACUGGAGUCGGUGGUUGACUAGUAGAGGACUCAACUUCCUUUAUGAGGUUCCUCAUGUAAUAUGUUUUCUAGGGAACUUGGUUUGUGGAUAAGAUUAUGGGAUGAGGAUCAACGUCAGAUACGGUACUAGGAGUAGGUUCAAUAAAUUCAAAGGUGUUGUUAGACUUUUCACUCACUCUCCCCCCUAAAGAUGGCUAACAGGGAAGUAGGGUCGGUUCUCACAGAAAGUAACAUACAUAGUGACAAAGUAUUUCCUAGACGGUGGGUGAAAACAUUUAUAACCGCGCUGGUGAAGGGGAUACCCAACAAACACAUAAGUUUGAGCCCGAGGAGUAAAUUUGGUGUGAUUAGGGCCAAAAUUAUGGACAUAAGCAGUACAUCCAAACACACGAAGAGGAACCUCAGAAACAAGGCGAGUAGAGGGGUAAGACUCCUUAAGACAAUCUAAGGGAGUUUGAAGGUGGAGGAUACGAGAAGGCAUUCUAUCGAUUAAGUGAGCGGCUGUAAGAAUAGCGUCUCCCCACAGGUACGAUGGAAGGGAAGUGGAAAGCAUAAGGGAACGGGCUACUUCCAUAAGGUAACGGUUUUUUCGUUUGGCCACUCCAUUUUGUUGAAAAGUGUAGGCACAUGAGGUUUGGUGAAUAAUCCCCUUAGAGGCUAGAAAUUCACUAAGGUUAUAGUUUUGGAAUUCCCCACCAUUAUCACUUCAAAGAAUUACAAUUUUUGUAUGGAAUUGUGUUUCAAUAGUAUGAUAGAAGUUUUGGAAAAUGGAUGAAACCUCAGAUUUAUCUGUGAUAAGGUAGACCCAGGUAAAAUGGGUAUGGUCAUCGAUGAAAGUUACAAACAACCGCUUUUUCGAUGAGGUAAUGACCUUGGAAGGACCCCAAAUGUUACUAUGGAUGAGGGUAAACGGUUGUGUAGGUUUAUAUGGUUGUGAGGGAAAAGAGACCCGAUGUUGUUUAGCUCGGAUACACACAUCACAAGAUAGAGAAGAGACAUCAAGUUUAGAAAAAAGGUGGAGAAAUAAAUAUUGCAUAUAUGUAAAGUUUGGGUGGCCCAGUCGAAAAUGCCACAGCAUACAAUCUUGUUCAAAAGUGCUAAAGUAGGACGACAAUAAACUAACCCUAGACAAACUACUACAGAAGGUAUCAUCAUCAAGGAUGUAAAGUCUCAUGUUAUGUCGGACAGUGUCAAUCGUCCUCUUCGAGCUCAUGUCCUGAAAAUAAACCGAUUCAGGUAAGAAGAUAGCUUUACAAUGCAACUCACGAGUGAUCUUGCUUAUAGAUAACAAAUCGUAAGACAAUUUAGGGACAUGCAAAACAUUCUAGAGAGCAAAACCGUCAAAGGGAACUAUUUGUCCUUUGCUAGCGAUCGGAGUUAGAGAGUCGUCGGCUAUUCAGUUUUUUUCAUUACCGAUACACGGGGCAUAUGAGAUAAAGUGUUCCGAAGAACCUGUCAAGUGAUCUGUAGCCUUCGAGUCUAAGAUCCAGGGAUUCUUCCCAUCAACGUUAAUGAUCCCAAAAGACUGAGACAUACCUGACUAAGCAAUGGCAUCCAGAGUCGGAGUCUUGGUUUGGCUCGCAGUAGGACUAGUUGAUUGAGAAGUGCUAGUAGGGGUAGUCUCACUAAUGUAGGCACGUCCUGAGUUCUGUUUCUCGUUGAAGGAUCGUUUCUUACCUCCUGAGGGACGACCGUGGAGUUUCCAACAUUGAUCCUUGGUGUGCCAUUGUUUCUUGUAGUGCUCACACACAGGGAUUGACUUCCCAUUAUUCUUGUCACUAUCAUGGUUUGAGGACCGAGCACUAAAGGCAGCGGAGUCAAUGGUAAGGGUAGUCAAUACACUCAUGGCAUUAGUGCAAUCCUCUUCCAGGCGGACUUCAAAACAAACUUUCAUUAGGGAGGGAAUAAGUCUUUGUCCGAGUAUACGACCACAAAUAGUACCAAAUUUGGGAUUAAGUCCUGCAAGGAAGUCAUAAACACGAUCAGCCUCUUUAAGUUUAGCAUACUGUGUACCAUCAUUUGGUGUGUUCCAAACUGUCUCUAUGCACAAAUCCAACUCUUGCCAGAGGAGAGAGAGCUUGUUAAAAUAGGUAGUCACGUCCAGGGUCCCUUGUUUGCAAUUAUGGACCUGUUUUCGCAGUGUAUACAAUUGAGAGGCAUUUUGUCGUUUUGAGUAAAGAGUCUGAGUUGUAUCCCAUAAAUCUUUUGUUGUGGCAGCAUAUAGUAGAGGCUUGUCAAUCUGUGGUUCCAUACUAUUAAUCAGCAUGGACCGAAUAAGUGAGUCCUCCCCUUUCCAGAGUCGUUCCAAGGCGUCUCCUGGUGGAGGACGUACAUUCUCUCCAGUUAAGAAGCCGAAUUGGUGGCGACCUUCGAGGAACAUCUUUAUUGAUUGGGACCAAGAGAAAUAAUUUUGUCCAUUUAAUUUUUCAUCUGAAAAAUUUCCUGUAGACGAACCCAAAGAGCCAGUUAUAUAAUUUGACGAUAAAUUAGAGAACGAAGUUAUCGGGUUCUUGGAACACAUCGGCAACUUGGUUGGUUUGGAAUGCGUCGAAGACUCGCCCGCUUCAAUGUUCGAUCUGUUCUGGGGUUGAUCAAUCUCGUUACCAGAAAACAACGGUUGCUGUAAAGAGUCAACAUACAGCGGAUGCUUAUAGUACAGAUUUGACAGAUUUACAAUUGAGGGUUGCUGUCCGGAGUUCAUAGACGGCGCAUGAGGAUACGAUGGCCAGAAGGGUUUGAUGGUUGGACAUCCGACAGCGCGUAGAGGGGAAUGGGCUGGGCGGUGAGAUGAAAAGGAGACGGCGUGUGGGCCCACGCGUCGGACAGGAGCGGCGCGUACGACUGCGAAACCACUCCUAUUGGGUAGAUCAGCAGUUUCUGUAGGUUUUGGAGCAGUUUCUCCAUGGUGGCGACGACAACGACAAUCACGGCGGCAGUGACGGGUUCAGUUUCGAUCUGGGUUUCUCCUAGGUUAUUUUCUAGGAUUUCGUUAUUGCUUUGCUCUGAUACCAUAUUGAAAGCAAUUAACAAUAAUCGAAGGUUUACGUGGAAACUCGAGAAUCGGGAGAAAAACCACAAUACUUUAGUUUUUAUUAUUUCUCUUAUGAAUGAAUACAAUAGGUACAAAGGGAGAGAAUAAAUAGAGUACAAUAGGAAUAAGAAAGGAAAAGAUUUAGGAAAUAAAAUCUUCUAUAUUCUUUUCAAAAAUAUUCUAAGUGCAAAGCCCUACUAAUUCUAACAGUAGCAAAAAAAUCGGACGCAUAUUUGUGGAGGCCAACAUCAGAAAAGACAUGUAUUGAAGAAGCUUUGGGAAGUAUAGUUGCAUGGCCAUUUGAUAAAGUGAUCAUUGGUGAGUGAAAUGGAGUCGUCUUAAUUAGAGGACCAAAAGAACCAAUGACAGUUAGCUCAUAUAAUCUUGUACACUUAUGAUGAAUUUUGUUUGUAUUUUAAGGAUUAAUUUGUGUGGUUGGUACAUUACUAGUUUGUGUAUUUUGAGAGUUAAUUUGUGUGGUUGGUACAUUUACUAGUUUGUGUAUUUUGAGAGUUAAUUUGUGUGGUUAGUACAUUUAGACCACAACAUUCAUUAAGUAAAUUACUGACUAUUUUAUUAUGUAAUUUUAAUACAUUAUGAAUGGAAGUUAUUAGUAUUCA